GACGAACGCUGGCGGCGUGCUUAACACAUGCAAGUCGAGCGAGACUUUCUCUUCGGAGGGAUGCUCUAGCGGCGAACGGGUGAGUAACACGUGGGCAACCUGCCCCUAGCUCUGGGAUAAGCCCGAGAAAUCGGGUCUAAUACUGGAUAUUCACGACAUAGGGCAUCUUAUGUUGUGGAAAGGUUUUCUGGCUGGGGAUGGGCCCGCGGCCUAUCAGCUUGUUGGUGGGGGAUGGCCUACCAAGGCGACGACGGGUAGCCGGCCUGAGAGGGUGACCGGCCACACUGGGACUGAGACACGGCCCAGACUCCUACGGGAGGCAGCAGUGGGGAAUAUUGCACAAUGGGCGGAAGCCUGAUGCAGCGACGCCGCGUGAGGGAUGACGG
rnacentral:rRNA from 1 species